UGUUUCCGUUAGGUAUGUUGUCAUAGAAACAGGGAAGUAACACACCUCUCUUCGGUGGCUGUCUAUCAACCCUUUAUUACCACACAAGGUCAUAUUCUGUGUUCCAGGAGGACAUGAAUGUGGGGUAAGCGGCAUUCAACUCCCUACGUGGUCUCUUCUAGCUCUCUACUUUCUGAAUUAGGCAGGCUGUUUUUAAAAAGAGGAUCAGAGCGAUAGAAUGUAUAUUAUAAGAAUAUUAUAAAUAAUGUUGUAAACAAUAUAACUGAAUAUAUGUUAUAAGGGGGAAUUUAUUGAGUUAGCUUAUACCAUAGAGUCUGGAGGACCAGAUAACUCGAUGGGUCUCCAAUCCACAGGCCUUAGCAGUCUCAAUCUGGUACUGAAGGUCUGGAAACCCUUGGGCAGUUGCUGGAGUUGAGUCCACAGUAAAAGGCCAAAGAACCUGGUAUUUGAUGGGCAUUUGGUCCUGCAUACAUUGCCUUCCUUGAACUCCCCUUUCUCACCCUUGCUUCUGGGACUCACCCUUUGUAGGAUUCUUCCCACACACAAGGUGGGUAUUUUCGUCCUAGUGGCUGUCCUGCAUGUCACCUCUUUCCCCACAGACAGGCAUGCAAGUGUCUCACUGGUCGUAAGCAUCUCUCAAUCCAGGCAGGCUAACCCACAAGACGAAGGGUCAAACUCCAACCACCCAGUCUUGUGAGGGGAGCAGCUGGAACCUGAGAGGCCAUACUGCUUCCCUGCUACACACAGUCCAUACUCCUUCACGGACCAUAGCCCCACAAUGGUCUCCCAAAGCCUAGCCUUGUACUCUCCUGGUCGCAUUAUCAGGUCCCAAGGUCCCAAGCGCCCUUGGUGUGGAAACUCCCGAGGGUUCCUGCUGCAUCUGCCGAGCACCAUGGAUGACAGCCGAGACUUCCCACCAGAACUGGUCUCUGGGUGUGAACUCUGUGAGGUGGCCUCUUAUUCCCACCCUCCAGGGACCGGGGUUGGGUGGAAGACAAGAGAGUCAUAGCUGAAAGGGACCUUAGGCUACACCUGAAGCCCCUUACCUAUAUGUGGUCCUCUGUGGCCCUCUUCAGAGCCCUUUCCAGCCCUCAUGUGAUGGCUGGGAAGUCCUGCCAUGCCUAUCCCACACCCCCCACCCCCAGUUAAAUCUGACCCAUCGAUACUGGCAAAAUGAUAGAAGCUCCUGGGAAGCAUCCCAGAGCCUGGGAGCUGCCCGCCGGCCAUCAUUGAGGAAAAUAAAUCUCUCUCCCUGAUAGCAGACAGUGCCCGCCGUAUUUCAUAAUUGGCGAGACGAAGAGCCCCGUUUUUUUUUCUUCUUCCCGAGAUGUUUGGGAAUAACUCAGUUUAAAAGACCACGUCCUAACAACCGGAAUGGGCCGAUUAUUCCAGCACAAUCCACUGAGAAUCGUUGCCGUGCACGUUUGUCACCCAGCGAGAACCUCAAACCCGGGAGGCAACCACCUUACUGCAUCCUGUCUCAAAAAGAUCUCUGUCUCCCAUCUGUUGUCUCUUCAAAGGGCCACCAAGAAGGCCAUCUCCUCCUGGCUGCCUUUGGGUCAAGAUGCAGAACUCUCAGCCUCUCCUCCAGCACCGUGUCUGCCUGCACGCUGCCAUGCUUCCUGCCGUGAUGAUGAUGGACUGAACCUCUGAAACUGUAAGCCAGCCCCAGUGGAAUGUUUUCCUUUAUAAGAAUUGUCUUGAUUGUGCUGUCCAUUCACAGCAAUGGAAAUCCUAACCAAGACACCCUAUCAAUAUGCCAGGAUUUAGACUUUCUCACCCAAGAUGCUUUACCACCACAUCGGCAAGAUGCUCAACUGUUCCUACCUUGAAGGGUGUUUACCCUUCAUUUCCUGCUUAUAAUACCUUAGAGGAGCCAUUUGGAGGCUUCACUGCCUUGGUUUCCUGUUGUUUCUCCCAUUUCCCUAGCCUGGUUGCCAUAGCGCUACUGUUCAGGAAUGGGUGGUGGGACAUCCAAAAGCUCUUUCUAAAUAGGCUGAGAGGUUUCUUCUGUGUUCGACUGCAUUGCAUUGGUUGGUCUUGGACAUGCAGUAACUGCUCCAGCCUUGGUCCAGGACUAAGGAGACAGACUCUUCUGGAACUUAGGACAUCGCUGCCUAGAAGCUGCACACUCAAGUGCACAGGAUGUCGGGAAGUCCCCUUCUCAGGUGGCAAAUCCAUGAUCUUUGUUGGAGAACUUCAUGCCUCUGGGUUUUGGUUUUCUUGUUAGAUAAUAGCAUAAUUUAUAAAAGAAGAAGAAAAUCACAUGUGUCUCAGAGUACAUCUGCAGCCAAAUGAAACCUCACACAGAAUAUCCAUGCAAGCAUGGUUGUCCUCUAUAGUCUCUCCUUACACAUGGAGCUAAUGCACAUCACUACUGAUUGGUCCUUCCAUGAGUACAUAUUUGGUGCCUACUGUGUGUGUAGCUUUCCAGUGCACCGAACCAGAGGUGGAAGGAGCCUGAAGCUGUCUACUUGUAAAUUUAUGGUGUUUUCCUUGCAAGCUUGUUGUCCAGAAAGCAACAUCAUUGUUCAGUAACUGGGACAUGGCAAUAAUGCAUUUUAAUGGAAAUUUAAUUAAUUUCAAAUGAUUACUUCGUUGUAAGUAGAAGGAAAGAAAAAAAUCGUUGAAAAUUGGCAAACGGGGAAGGAACACUUUUCUAUAAGUGCACAGAGAGAGAGAGAGAGAGAGAGAGAGAGAGAGAGAGAGAGAGAGAGAGAGAGAGAGAGCAGCUGCGAACAUUGCUAAAAUAAGAAAACACAGAGCUUGAGUUUGUAAAGUUAUUUCCUUAAU